UUACGGAGGGCAGCAGUAAGGAAUAUUGGACAAUGGUGGCAACACUGAUCCAGCCAUGCCGCGUGCAGGAUGAAUGCCCUAUGGGUUGUAAACUGCUUUUAUACGGGAAAAAACCCUACUACGUGUAGUAGGCUGAUGGUACCGUAAGAAUAAGGAUCGGCUAACUUCGUGCCAGCAGCCGCGGUAAUACGAAGGAUUCGAGCGUUAUCCGGAUUUAUUGGGUUUAAAGGGUGCGUAGGUGGAUUAAUAAGUCAGUGGUGAAAGCCCAGAGCUCAACUCUGGAACUGCCAUUGAUACUGUUAAUCUUGAGUACAGUUGAGGUGGGCGGAAUGUGUCAUGUAGCGGUGAAAUGCUUAGAUAUGACACAGAACACCGAUUGCGAAGGCAGCUCACUAAGCUGUAACUGACACUGAGGCACGAAAGUGUGGGUAGCAAACAGGAUUAGAUACCCCUGUAGUC
rnacentral:rRNA from 1 species